AUCUGCGGCCAUGCCACCCUGAACAUGUUCAAUCCCGUCUGAUUUCGGAAGCUAAGCAGGGUUGGGCCUGGUUAGUACUUGGAUAGGAGACCACCUAGGAAGACCAGGUGUUGUAAGCA
rnacentral:rRNA from 1 species